GAUCAUGGCUCAGGAUGAACGCUAGCUACAGGCUUAACACAUGCAAGUCGAGGGGCAGCAUGGUCUUAGCUUGCUAAGGCCGAUGGCGACCGGCGCACGGGUGAGUAACACGUAUCCAACCUGCCGUCUACUCUUGGACAGCCUUCUGAAGGAAGAUUAAUACAAGAUGGCAUCAUGAGUCCGCAUGUUCACAUGAUUAAAGGUUUACCGGUGUAAGAUGGGGAGUG
rnacentral:rRNA from 1 species